GAUGAAGAACGCAGCGAAAUGCGAUAAGUAAUGUGAAUUGCAGAAUUCAGUGAAUCAUCGAAUCUUUGAACGCACAUUGCGCCCGCCAGUAUUCUGGCGGGCAUGCCUGUUCGAGCGUCAUUACAACCCUCAGGCCCCCGGGCCUGGCGUUGGGGAUCGGCGGAAGCCCCCUGUGGGCACACGCCGUCCCUCAAAUACAGUGGCGGUCCCGCCGCAGCUUCCAUUGCGUAGUAGCUAACACCUCGCAACUGGAGAGCGGCGCGGCCAUGCCGUAAAACACCCAACUUCUGAAUGUUGACCUCGAAUCAGGUAGGAAUACCCGCUGAACUUAAGCAUAUCUAUAAGCGGAGGA
rnacentral:misc_RNA from 1 species